CAGCAUUCCACCCUCGCUGCUGCCACCGCCACCGUGUUGGUCCUAAGCUCCCGUGUCUGGUGAAAGAAGACUCAGGAACCAAGAGAAAGAAGGGGACAGUUGGUGCGGAGCCCAGCGCAAGGCAGACGCGCGGCCCGGACAGCUGACUAAGGACGGAUGGACAGAGAGGGCCAGGGAGAGGCGAACUGAGUUUGAUCCUCCAGCGGCUACAACAAGUCCAGAGACGAGAGACACAAUCCUGCGGACUGCCUGCCUUUGCUGAUUGAUACAAUAACCCGGCUCGGCUUCUCCACCGCCCGCCCCCCAACCCCA